UUUAGAGACCGACAUUAGAUGUAUAAUAAUGUAAAUGUAUAAUAAGAGAAGAGGAACGAUAGCAUCUAUCAUGGACCAGUUAAAAAUUGUGUACCUCCUUACCUUUCCAGCCAUGUUUGUUUGCAAGAGGAUCGCCAGGAGACUGAUGCCUCAGGGUAAGAUUCGUCGUACUUUUAUACGCGUGAUGACUGUCAGUGUUUUCGUGUCAUCCGCCAACAAUAACCCGAGCUAUUCCUUGCACCCAAACACGAAUCGUGCACACCCGUCUUACACACGCAUACACACCGCCCCCACUUGAAUCUCUCCUUCUUUUAUUCGGGCUACCUAUUACUCUGUUUCUUUUACCAUCCGAUGACCUCCUCAUAAAUGUUGCGAUGUCCAUACGUACAACUACGAGUCGAUGAGUAUGCGCGCUUAUGUUUCUUCAUAUCGUCGCGGCGUAUACACGCGACCUGUAUGCCAAUAUGUCGAAGAUACAGAGCCACUUCGAGGUCGUGCGACGAAACCGCGAACGUAAACCGUGAACUCCGCUGUAACCCUCUUGACGAAAGGUGUACGCACUUCCAAAAGUUUACGAUAUUGCGCGAUCCUUAUCGAUUAGCAUUUACGUCGCGCCUGCGACACCUUUAGCCAAGCCUGCACGCGAGAGAAAAAAGGGUUUCUUAACGCUAGACGAGUGAAGUAUGAGACUUGUAUCGGUGAAAUUGAAACGAACGUGGAAAAUGUGUUGAUUGAAAGGGAAAGGGAAACCUUUAACCGUAUAUUUUACAAAGAUCAUCGAAAUUCCUGAAAAUAUACUGUUCGAAAUUUAGAAGAUUUCUAUGAAGAACGACGAGUUGGUCAUUUUUACCGUGUUCUGAUUCCAACGAUAAUACUUGCGUCGAAAGAAUGCUAUCUGUCCGUUCUGAUUCGAUCUUUGGUAGAAUUUUAAAUUAAAAAGCAAUUCUUAACGUAUGCAAUGGCAAACAGUACCGGCUAUCAUCGUAUUUGUCGUAGCAUCUACGUACCGACUAACUGGACCCAAGUAUAGUAUAUUAAAUCUCGAAUCAUUUGGCAGCACUUUGUGACGUGAUUACAAAAAUUUGAUACCGUGAGAACGAAAUGAAGAUGACCUAGUAAAAAAGGAAACAUUUCAUUGGGAAAUAAUUGUUGCAGCCGGUGUAUAUUGUUUGCGCUAAAUAGGUAGUAAGUGAAGAAUUUAGGUUAAAAAUGACCCUUGUUUCUGUUUAUCUUCGAUUAAUUCAAAUCAAGUAUCCGAUUGAUUUCUUUUCUAUAGUAAAAUGAAUCGAUAACGCUAUGAUAACAGCUAGCACCAAUACAUUAAUACAUUAAUGUGGUCGGAACAUGUGUCAAUCGAAUUCGUUUUAAAUUUGACACACGAUCGCCGAAUUUUAAGUGCAAACGAAGUGUGAGCGGCCAUAUAAUUUGUAUGCUGAUACAUCGAAGAAAGUCAUUCGAGGUUAUUCGACGAAAUUACGAAAGGAUCGGACACCGGAGAAACCUUUCGUUCGAAUCGAAGAAUAGAAGGAACAGAUGAUUCAUAUAUGCCGACAUACACGAGAUGCUUUCGGGAAAUUUUGCCUAUGCCUCCUUAAAUCUGUGUAAAAAGAGGUUAUCUGUGCGAAGAGACAAUGGAUAAUCGAACUUUCUUUCGUAACAAAACAUUGUGAAAGAAUUACAACAGUUGCUUGUAGUCGAUUCGUUCUUUAUUGUUAGAUCCCUUAUUUAUUAUGUACCACACGUAUAAAUCGCAAUAAUUUAUAUUCAUUUUCGAUAUAUAUAUAUCGCCCAUUUGUAAUAUGAUAUCUUUUAUCUAUAACAUAUAUUUUACAGGAAAAUUAAAGAAUCAUUCGUUUCUGGUUGAAAGAAUAACUUUAUUCUGCUGUAAUACGAUCUUUAAAGUGCUACAGUAUAGAAAAGAAAGAUCGCAAAAUAAUCUGCGUGGACUUGCUUCAAAGCGUGAUACUUCUACUUUCUGAUCAUCAAAUUUUAUUUCCUCGUGGAUGCCUCUAUAUUCGCAAAAAGAGGUAAAAGUGAGAAUGAUUUUUGCCGCAAAAAUGUAUGUUUUGAACUAUUUCACUUUUCAUUCAAAGUGCCAUAAAACGGUUUUUGGUUUUGGUACGAAUCGCGAAAAAAUUUCUUAAAUUUCACAGGCUUGUUCGAAUUUGUAGAAUUUUCGGAAUAAAAAAUAAUUUUCACUUUCCCGCCCCGCUUCUAAGCAUAAAAGCGUCUUCGAGAAAAAUUAAUUUAGAGUUGAGAAAGUAGAGACUUUGCCAACUGAAAUGAGCCCACGCUAAUAGUUGUACAAUCCGUCAUCAGGAAAUUACAGUACUUCAAAAAUUGAUAACAUUUUAAUUCAGAAUUGAUGAUCGUUUAACUUUCCCGCAAAGAUUUAAGUAAUAAACAACAAAUAAAAGAAAUAGGUAAAAGACCCAUUUUAUAAUUUCAGAAAACGAGGAUUUUCUAAUUUACAAUAUUUUACACAAAAAUAUUUAUUUAAAUAGUCGUAUGGAAAUAUAAUUUAUUGAUUGAUAUCGAUGCAA